CAGCCGCCGCGGUAAUACGAACCGUGCGAACGUUAUUCGGAAUUACUGGGCUUAAAGCGCGUGUAGGCGGCUCGGCACGUCGGACGUUGAAAGCCCCCGGCUCAACCGGGGAAGUGGCGCCGAUACGGCCGAGCUGGAGGGAGGUAGGGGGGUCUGGAACUUCCGGUGGAGCGGUGGAAUGCGUUGAGAUCGGAAGGAACGCCCGUGGCGAAAGCGAGGCCCUGGACCUUUUCUGACGCUGAGGCGCGAAAGCCAGGGGAGCGAACGGGAUUAGAUACCCCCGUAGUCCCUGUCUCUUAUA
rnacentral:rRNA from 1 species